rnacentral:rRNA from 1 species
UUGCCAGCCGCCGCGGUAAUACGGAGGGUGCGAGCGUUAAUCGGAAUUACUGGGCGUAAAGGGCGCGUAGGCGGUCGCGCAAGUCGGGUGUGAAAGCCCCGGGCUCAACCUGGGAAUUGCAUUCGAUACUGCGUAACUAGAGUCUGGUAGAGGGAAGCGGAAUUCCGCAUGUAGCGGUGAAAUGCGUAGAUAUGCGGAGGAACACCAGUGGCGAAGGCGGCUUCCUGGACCAAGACUGACGCUGAGGCGCGAAAGCGUGGGGAGCAAACAGGAUUAGAUACCCUGGUAGUCCACGCCCUAAACGAUGAGGACUAGACGUUGGGGGGAUAAAACCCUUUAGUGUCGCAGCUAACGCGUGAAGUCCUCCGCCUGGGGAGUACGGCCGCAAGGUUGAAACUUAAAUGAAUUGACGG